CUGGCCUCCUGACUCCAUUUGAAAUGGAUUUCUGCUUGUUGAUUUUCACAGUGGCUUAAACAACAGAAUAUUUUUCUCACCAUUAUGGAGGCUGGGAAGUCCAAGAUCAAGGUGCCAGCAAGGAGAGAGUAGGAACUAUUGUAUUCCACCUUCAGCAGCAACAGUUUCGUCAGUUAGACUGCGACUGCUGAAUCUUUAUCCUCGGGAUGUGGUGAGACAGGGCGACAGCUUCCAGAUUGCUGACUAGCUAUUUUGGGACUUGUAAACUUGUGGCACAACUGACUUGUAAAUCAAUGCUUGUAUAAAUGCA
rnacentral:lncRNA from 1 species